GGAUGUGAGGGUGAUCUAUCUGUAGCAUCUGUCACCAUAUUGAUCACCAAGGUUGAAAUGGCGGCCAACCUGGCUGGCUAUACAGGUGAGCCCUUCCUCCCUCACAGCCUCAAGUACAUCAUUCCCAAAGCUCAGUGCUUGGUUGAAGAGAACUUCCUUCCCUGAUAAAAUGGUUAAGUGGUACAAGAUUUAAGGCAGUCUUCAUCUUCAAAUUGAAUAUCACUUAAUUAUAAAAAUACUUCUGG
ensembl:misc_RNA 7SK 7SK RNA